rnacentral:misc_RNA from 1 species
AAGUCGUAACAAGGUUUCCGUAGGUGAACCUGCGGAAGGAUCAUUAACACGUUUUUUCCAACGUUUUUGACCCAUUCUAUUUUCUGUGCACCUCUCAUGCGUCCGGCCUCCCAGCCGCCCGUCGGGUUUACUCGGCGUGGCCUGUUGGGCGUCUUUGGGAUCAAAGGAGAUUAGGAUUUUGCUUGUUCAUUCAAGUGGGACCUUUUCGCCUCCCUUUGGCGUUGCCACCUCACCCAAACCCUUUAAUCUAAUCUAUCUGAACUUUUAGUUGAAGUCUUUUCGGAGACGACAACGACACAAAACAAACAACAACUCUUAACAACGGAUAUCUUGGUUCUC